AUUGAACGCUGGCGGCAUGCUUUACACAUGCAAGUCGAACGGUAGACCCUUUCGGGGGUUGAGAGUGGCGAACGGGUGAGUAAUGCAUCGGAACGUACCCAGUCGUGGGGGAUAACGUAGCGAAAGUUACGCUAAUACCGCAUACGUCCUGAGGGAGAAAGCGGGGGACCGUAAGGCCUCGCGCGAUUGGAGCGGCCGAUGUCAGAUUAGCCAGUUGGUGGGGUAAAGGCCUACCAAGGCGACGAUCUGUAGCGGGUCUGAGAGGAUGAUCCGCCACACUGGGACUGAGACACGGCCCAGACUCCUACGGGAGGCAGCAGUGGGGAAUUUUGGACAAUGGGCGCAAGCCUGAUCCAGCCAUGCCGCGUGCGGGAAGAAGGCCUUCGGGUUGUAAACCGCUUUCAGGCGGAAAGAAAUCGUCAGGGUUAAUAACCCUGAUGGAUGACGGUACCGUCAGAAGAAGCACCGGCUAACUACGUGCCAGCAGCCGCGGUAAUACGUAGGGUGCGAGCGUUAAUCGGAAUUACUGGGCGUAAAGCGUGCGCAGGCGGCUUUUUAAGCCAGACGUGAAAUCCCCGGGCUUAACCUGGGAACUGCGUUUGGAACUGGAAAGCUAGAGUGUGUCAGAGGGGGGUGGAAUUCCACGUGUAGCAGUGAAAUGCGUAGAGAUGUGGAGGAACACCGAUGGCGAAGGCAGCCCCCUGGGAUAACACUGACGCUCAUGCACGAAAGCGUGGGGAGCAAACAGGAUUAGAUA
rnacentral:rRNA from 1 species